AACGUUAAGUUAGUUUCCGCUAGCCCUUAUUUUCUAACUCUGUCGUCUCUUUCUCUGUAUCAGCCUAUUUUUCCAUAAUUUCUCGUCUCUUUCUCUAUAGCUCCGCCUCUCUCUCAACCGCGAUGGUCAAAAUCAACAUUGGGGAUCUCAUCAGGUACGCGAUCUCUCUCUCUUUCCCAUCUAAUCUUUGGCCAAGACUAGGGUUUGAGGCUGGAAUUGUUGGCUAGUUUGACGCUUGUCCUUGUUUAUGUGCUUUAUUUGAUUUUUUAUUCGUAUUGGGGUAGAGUGGGGCUGUGAUGUACUUUGAAUCUUUCGUAUUCAUAUUGUAUGAUUGGAAGCUGAUUAUCACAGCUUUAUUAGUAUUACACCUGCAUUUUUCCUCUUUUACGAUGAAGCCUAGUCGUAAAAUGGCCACAUAAAAGAGAAAGAUUAAAAAAAUGAAGGAAAUCUAUACAAUAAAAAGAAAGAGAUAGGAUAAAGUAACUAAAGAUUAUGGAAACUACCAGGGGAGGAUGUACGUGUUAGAUUUAGGUGCUCAAGCAUCCAUUAACAUUGACAGAAACUAUGUAUAGCUAUAUUAAAAAUAUACCAAAUGGGAUAUAAUAGUUUAGCCAACACCCAAUACACAAAAUGACUGAUGGGUGCAGUGGUUCUGAUGCAGGAAUAAAAUCCUUUGCUGAGUGCAAAACACCCAGGUUCGAAUCCUUGUCACAGCAAUUCUCAAUUACUUUUUGUAUUUUGUGGAAUUAUUUUUUAACUUUUCCUAUUCUCUUUAGUGGUUAUCAACGACGGCCUUUCUUUGCUUUUGACAUAAAAUUUCAUUUUCUGUCUUUUUUGCUCAUUUUCCUACUUUCUUUCACCUUUAUACUUUCUUAUAUCUUGUCAACGACCGCCUUUCUUUGCUUUUGACAUAAAGUUUCCUUCUCUAUCUUUUUUUCUCCUUUUCCUACUUUCUUUCACCUUUAUACUUUCUUAUAUUAAUUAUAUUUAGGAUUUAGGACCUUUAUUUUUGCCUUAUUUUUUUUUUUUUCCUAUUCUAAUUGUCUUAAAGUUAAAAAGAAAAGCCAAAAAACGUGGACUGUUCUCCCUUUCCAACAAGUUCUUUACCUUUUUUUAUUCAAUUAUUCUUUUUCUUGUUGACUAAACUUUCCUUUCAAUUAUUCUCAAAAAACCAAAAACCCUUCUUCUCGGCAAAGAAAACGCAGCCCACUUGUUCUCUCCGGUAAUUUCAAAAUCAGAACAUAAAUAAAAGGUAAAAGAAUUUGGUAUUUUAAAUUUUUCAUUCAACCUAGAAGAAACAGGAAUUGAGGUUUUCUCAUGCUUAAUUUCCAGAAAACUUUAAAAUUAAACCCUUCUUCAGUUUUUUACUUAUUAGGAACGCAGUGAAGGAAAAAUCGAAGAACAAAGUAGACGAAAUAGUUAGCAAACUCUCCUGUCAUUCACAACAAUCUCAAAACUAGAACAUAACACAAGAUAAUAACUAAUAAGC
rnacentral:lncRNA from 1 species